rnacentral:rRNA from 1 species
GGAAUAUUGCACAAUGGGCGAAAGCCUGAUGCAGCAACGCCGCGUGAGUGAUGAAGGCCUUCGGUUUGUAAAGCUCUGUCUUUUGGGACGAUAAUUACGGUACCAAAGGAGGAAGCCACGGCUAACUACGUGCCAGCAGCCGCGGUAAUACGUAGGUGGCAAGCGUUGUCCGGAAUUACUGGGCGUAAAGGAUGCGUAGGCGGAUAUUUAAGUGGGAUGUGAAAACCCUAAGCUUAACUUAGGGACUGCAUUCCAAACUGGGUAUCUAGAGUGCAGGAGAGGAAAGCGGAAUUCCUAGUGUAGCGGUGAAAUGCGUAGAGAUUAGGAAGAACCCCAGUGGCGAAGGCGGCUUUCUGGACUGUAACUGACGCUGAGGCAUGAAAGCGUGGGUAGCAAACA